CCUACGGGAGGCAGCAGUGAGGGAUAUUGGGCAAUGGGGGCAACUCUGACGGAGCAACGCCGCGUGAGGGAAGACGGUUUUCGGAUUGUAAACCUCUGUCCUCUGUGAAGAUAAUGACGGUAGCAGAGGAGGAAGCCCCGGCUAACUACGUGCCAGCAGCCGCGGUAAUACGUAGGGAGCAAGCGUUGUCCGGAUUUACUGGGGGUAAAGGGUGCGUAGGCGGCCUUGCAAGUCAGAAGUGAAAUCCAUGGGCUUAACCCGUGAACUGCUUUUGAAACUGUAGGGCUUGAGUGAAGUAGAGGCGGGCGGAAGUCCCGGUGUAGCGGUGAAAUGCGUAGAGAUCGGGAGGAACACCAGUGGCGAAGGCGACCUGCUGGGCUUUAACUGACGCUGAAGCACGAAAGCGUGGGUAGCAAACAGGAUUAGAUACCCUGGUAGUC
rnacentral:rRNA from 1 species